CCUACGGGUGGCAGCAGUGAGGAAUAUUGGUCAAUGGGCGCGAGCCUGAACCAGCCAAGUCGCGUGAAGGAUGACUGCCCUACGGGUUGUAAACUUCUUUUAUAAAGGAAUAAAGUGAGGCACGUGUGCCUUUUUGUAUGUACUUUAUGAAUAAGGAUCGGCUAACUCCGUGCCAGCAGCCGCGGUAAUACGGAGGAUUCGAGCGUUAUCCGGAUUUAUUGGGUUUAAAGGGAGCGUAGAGGGGUUGUUAAGUCAGUUGUGAAAGUUUGGGGCUCAACCGUAAAAGUGCAAUUGAUACUGGCAGUCUUGAGUACAGUUGAGGUAGGCGGAAUGCGGGGUGUAGAGGUGAAAUGCUUAGAUAUCACGAAGAACUCCGAUGGCGAAGGCAGCUUACUAAACGGGCACUGACACUGAGGCGCGAAAGUGUGGGUAUCAAACAGGAUUAGAUACCCGAGUAGUC
rnacentral:rRNA from 1 species